GUGCUCACUUCAGCAGCACAGAUACUAAUAUUGGAACGAUACAGAGAAGAUUAGUAUGGCCCCUGCUCAAGGAUGACAUGCAAAUUCAUGAAGCAUUCCGUAUAUUU